UACGUAGGGGGCUAGCGUUGUCCGGAUUUAUUGGGCGUAAAGAGCGUGUAGGCGGCCAGGUAGGUCUGCUGUGAAAACUCGAGGCUCAACCUCGAGACGUCGGCGGAAACCAUCUGGCUAGAGUCCGGAAGAGGAGAGUGGAAUUCCUGGUGUAGCGGUGGAAAUGCGCAGAUAUCAGGAAGAACACCCGUGGCGAAGGCGGGUCUCUGGGCCGAUACUGACGCUGAGGAGCGAAAGCGUGGGGAGCGAACAGG
rnacentral:rRNA from 1 species